rnacentral:rRNA from 1 species
UGCGAAUCUCGAAAGCCUGUCUCAGUUCGGAUUGGAGGCUGAAACCCGCCUCCAUGAAGCUGGAUUCGCUAGUAAUCGCGCAUCAGCCAUGGCGCGGUGAAUACGUUCCCGGGCCUUGUACACACCGCCCGUCAAGCCAUGGGAGCCGGGGGUGCCUGAAGUUCGUGACCGCAAGGAGCGACCUAGGGCAAAACUGGUGACUGGGGCUAAGUCGUAACAAGGUACC